CUAUAAUAUUAAUGAGUAUCUUAUAUUUCUAAAUAUUUCAUUAUGUUAUAUAUUCAUUAUUUUAUUCUGAAUAAUUAUAUUUUUGUACACUGAGUACUGUAAUAAAAACCAACUUUGUUGAUAUUAAUAUUUAAGUGUUUUAGGUAUAAAAAUAAGAUUUUAUGAUUCUUUGAUGAACAAAUUUUUAAAUACUGCUGCUGUCUACUACCCACAAUUUAAAACUGUCUAGAUUAAAAAUGAAGUAAAGAAACAAAUGGCCAUCGAGUACUUAAAAAAUGAGUGUUAUGAGUAGCACCAAAAUUUUAGUAAAUAUGAUUCUACAGAUUAUGCCCAAAUUCAUGAUGAUUUAUCUUGCUUCUUUACGGGGAAAAAACAUGUUUACGAGGGAAAGUCAGUAGUAAGUUAUGAAAUUGACAGAUUCUUGGGCACAUCUAUAGCAAAAAAUUAGAAUGUUUAUAUAACUUACCCACAAUAAAAAAAAUUUUUCAUUAAAUACAACACUCCUCUACCAAGCAGUACAUCAGUUUAGAAUUUUUAGUGUUAGUGGUGCUACAAUCACUAAAAAAAGGACUAACAUGGCUGAUAAAUGUUUUAAAUAAAUAAUACUUUUAAAGUGUAACCAAUAAAUUUUUUAUUAAAAAAAAUAACUUUAUA